GCCUGGUCAGGGGGCGCCGGGUGGGAAGGCGGGCUGGCGGCCUUUUCAGCUCCGCAGACCCCGUUGCUGCCCUGUCUCUGUCGGCCCGAUCAGCGCCCACCUCCACUUUUCUCUUCCGCGUAGAAUGUGGCUGGGGCGUCGGGAAGAAAGGGGAGCUUCACCAUUCACUUCUUUUGCCAGCUCUUGGAAAUAUCCAGAAUGCCUGGCCCUCAAGACAAACCCCAGCUCUCGGCCUAAAAAGCUAAGUCCAGAUAUGUUAUAUAUUUAUUCAAGGCAGCAAUUGGCCAGGAAACGACUAUAAAACACACAUUUUGAAUAAAAGAGGGAGAUUUAUGGUGCAUUUGUGAAUCUGAGUCAUAUCUCUCUGCCUCCCCCAGGCCAGGAUCCCUUAAUCACUAACAUACCCCCAGCCUGUACACUCGGUGGGCACAGAAUUGCUUCCUUCUGGUCCCGUCCCAGUUAAAGAUGUGGUGGGGAUUGUGCUACUUGGACUGACAGUCGGGAAAGAAGGCAGGUAGCAGAGAGAGCUGGGCAAGGCCACUGCCAAUGGCUAGACUUCCAGCUUAUGUUACUUCAAGCAGAUAAACAGAACAGGAAAGGACAAAAUUCAACCCGCAGAAUACCUGAAUUUGGGUUGGAGCAGGAUCCAACCCUACGGCAACUAUCUUAUGCCCGUGGUUUUUAGACGUUGACUUCUCCGGAGGCAGAGGGCUGGGACAGAAGAUCUCUACGCGAUUUCCACAUCAAGAUUUUUAUCAGCUAGGGUACCACCUUAAAGAAAAGAACGUAAUGACAGGAGUCGUGGUACAGAGCUGCCAGGGACAGCUGGGCAGGCUGUGCACUGCACCACUCCAAGAGGCACCACUCAGGGCUCCCUCAAAGCAGCCCCUGACACCAGCAUUUGGGAGCAGCGGUCUGUGUGGGCGAGACCAGGAAGGCGAGGAGGCUUGCUCAAGGCCACGGGGCUAUGUAGUGGGGUGAACACUUGGGCAAAACCCUAUUUGUGCUGGAUUCCUCGUGUGAUAGGUAUUCGUUUUUUUUCUACCUCCUUGCCUCCAUUACUCCUUUUUUGGAGGGGGCACCCCAGUCUUUUGAUGGGGUUUCUCUCUCCUUCAUUAACAGGCAGAAGAAUGCAGUUGUGAGGUCAGAAGAGAGAAGGCGUGGGGUUGUCGGCCUUUUGGGGCGUAGAGAUUUCUGGUCGCUCGUGGUUGCCGCAGGGGGACCCGGGGUUGAGGUGGGGCCUGGGUGGAAGACCUGUGUUUGAAUUCUCGUCCUAAGUGACGACAGUGGCGAUGGCGAGGAUGGUGACGUUUUCCCAACCCUCACCGAGCUGAGGUGCGCUGUAAAACUCGUAGCACAUCGCAAGGGGCGAAUUUCCCAAGCGAAGGAGGGGGAGGGGGUGGGAGGGGGAGGGGAGGACGGGGAGGAGAGGGGCUAAUUAGCAAUGAGGAUAAUCAAUACUAAUUCAUCUUUUUAUCAGCUGACAGCUAUUGCCUUACACGGGGCUCUGUGCCCAGCACCCUCGAUACCCACUGUCCCACCGAACGCUGGCUCGAACGUCCCGGGGCGGGGGGGGGGGGAGGUACCCUUAUCCUCAUGCUGCAGAUGAUUAAAUGGAGGGUCAAAGAGGUUAAGUGACUCGCGCGAGGUCACGGAAGCAGUAAGCGGCAAGGUGACUUUUACGAGCCAGGUCAGGUAGGGAACAAAGGUGCGAUUCUCAGGGGCGCCUGGGUGGCGCAGUCGGUUAAGCGUCCGACUUCGGCUCAGGUCACGAUCUCGCGGUCCGGGAGUUCGAGCCCCGCGUCGGGCUCCGGGCUGAUGGCUCAGAGCCUGGAGCCUGUUUCCGAUUCUGUGUCUCCCUCUCUCUCUGCCCCUCCCCCGUUCAUGCUCUGUCUCUCUCUCUGUCGCAAAAAUAAAUAAACGUUGAAAAAAAAAAUUUAAAAAUUC
ensembl:lncRNA